ensembl:lncRNA
AGUUGCUUCUCGCUUUGUGUACGUGUUUUGAAAUGUUGCGGCCAGCCUCUUCUUAAAUUACGAACUCUAUCGUGAGAACAUCAAAAAGUCCAGCGACGGCUUCUCUGAUGGGCAGCGGCACGAGUGUGAAUGGAUGUGUUUGCUGAAAACUCGAGAGGGAAGAAGACACCACGCGCCACGAGUCAUGCCUGUGCCAGUGUGAACAAGUACCUGUGCCUGAGCGCGCGCGUGUGUGUGUGUGCGUGAUCUUAUGGUACAACCAUGGCAAGAGCAGCACUUACUAAACUUCUUCUCCUCGUGAUUCUUGCCUUCAUCAUCUGCCUCCCGGAAUUUUUCACAUUUUACCAAGUAACAAAAGUGAACUUCUUCUGCCUUCCCUACCGACCCUGCGAACAAGGAAAUCAGGUGAAAGAGGGAGAAAAUGGAAAGGCUGGAAAUGAUGACGCUAAGAGAGGCCAUAUGUGUGACCCAUCUCAGACUCCAGAUCAGGAAAAAUGGGAGCAAGCGUGCAUACGAGAAGAUCAAAGCAAUACAACAGAUUCGGCUUCAGACGUCAGGCGAGGCAGAGAUGAUCCAAAAGCGAGGUGGUUCAUGUGUGAGACAGACAUGGAAAUGGCAGAAGUACACAGAAAUAUCUCAACUUCAGCUUACGAGUCACAUCUGGAGGUGUCAGCCGAGCUUCAUCUGCCCAACGCAGAGACCCUGAAUCUCACCUUGUACGGCCGCAGCAAUCACAGUUCCUUACACCUCUACCCACCUGAGGAGGAGGAGGAGGAGGAGGAGGAAAAUAAGGGUGGUGAUGAAGGACAGAGGAAGGCAUUCUACUGCUGUCUCCCUUUCCUGCCCAACUCUGAAUCGCCCAAUCAAAGCCGCUGUCUCCUUUGGUUCGCCAAUCAAACGGUUUGGAAUUCAACAGCAAAGGAAAAGCUGCCAUGGAAACGGACACAGAAAGAUGAGUGGCAGUGUGCGCUCAGAGUGGUCUGGCUGGCUCUGCUGUGUUUGGUGUUGCUGAGUAUAGUAACGAGUGUGAUCGGACAAAUCUACAAGAAAAGGCGUUUGUGCAGUAAGAGACAAAAAACAAUCAAACAAAAGAAAUCACUCGUUUUAUGAUGCCACAACUGAAGAAACAAAGUCAAAAUUUUGAGUUACUAUUUUAAAUUUCUAAUUAAAAAUGAAAAACUUUGAGUUUUUGAGUUGAGUUUGAGUUUGUAUUAGUGAGUUGAAAGUUUGGACUUAUGAAUAUAAAAAAGGCUUGGCUUUGUUUUUCAGUGGUGGAAACAGGCGUCCUAAGACAUGUUUUUUUCCUCUGCCAGGGAAGCCGAAGGUGCACCCUGAUGGCUUCAACUUAAUUACUCAGCAAUUAAAUGACGGUGCCAAAGAAACAGAAGUCAGCCCUCCUGAAGCAGGGACAAACCUCCACUUAUACGGGUUUCAUACCUGGUCAGGUCAGUCCUUUUAAUCAGUCAGCAUCAUUUAAUGGAUCUGUUGUUUCACUGCUUUCACCACGUUAAUCUUUUUCUUUUUUUUUACCAAAAUGGAUAGGGCUCUCACCAAUUAAAGAAGUUGACAGUCAAAGUAGGUACACACACAUGCACCUUUUAGAAAAAUGAGUCAGAUCACAAACACACGUUCUGAUUGUCCUCACGUAUACUUUUCAGAUGACAUAUCAAUGUUAAUGGAUGGAAAUGCUGACCACUGCUAUACUGGUAAAGUCUUUACUGGAACAAUUGUACAGGUUCAAAGAGAAAGCUGUUGGUGGUUAUGACCACCAAUAGCUGGUUGAUGACUUUCAGAUACUCUUGCACGCAUUCAAGACUUAACUUGGCGCCUCUUCAUGCAACCAAAGUUUGAUUAAUUAUAUGCGGUUUAGUUUUUAGAUGCUAUGGGUCGGCCUUUAGUCCUGUCCUUACCAGCGUAUUGCUGGAUACGUUAUUUGAAACUGCUGCACGGUUGGGAACCACAUCGCCCUUCAUUUUCAUACGUGUGUGGUAAUCUGCGAAUGGUGCUACGAGAGCUCAAAAACUCCAAAGUGUAGCUUUAAAUAUGAUGGACUUAAUGCAUAAAUACAAAAAGUAUACCAAUGUGUAGCUAAUUAUCAUUGAAUUGUUUGCUGUAUUAGGCUGUUCUCUUUACGUAAAACGUAAACAUAAGGUCAGAGGUUAAAUGUGAUGUGAUAUUUGGAUGUAAAUUAUAAUGUGAUAUUUAGAAUACACAUACACCAGUAUCAUUUCCUAAAUGUUGCCAAUACAAACAAAGGCAGUCGUAAAGUUAAAAGACAUUUUAUGAUGUUUGACCUUAUAAAAUACACACAACACUUAUAAGAAUCAUAGUUUCUAAGUUAUAAGGCUUUUUGGUAAUUUUGGACCUAUACAUCAUUAUUUUGACAUUGAGGAUUGUGGUUGAUGUGAGCCAAAUUUUGAAUGGAUUGUUAACACGACUCCAUUCUAAAUAAAAAACGUAAAGUUUUAUCGGAAUUCAUUCAAAACUUUUUGAGUUAUGGUGUUUACAGACAGAACGGCAUGCACACUUCCAAAAACGUAAUCUUCCAGGCGGAGUUAAUCGUCAAAAAAUUCAUCUCAGUAGACAAUUACUGCAGAGUAUCAACACAUCAGAACCCUUUUAAAAUGUCAUCUAACAGUGUGCUUGGUGCCUUUUUUCUGUUGUCUUUAGGUUUUCUGCAUCAUCGCAGCCAUCCCUCCGUCAGCUCCAUCAAAGAUGAGCCUGCUCGAUGACAGGCGAGCAGCCGGAGGAAGCUGGAGGAAAACAGCCGCCUCAUUUACCAGCAUUACUAAUGGUGAAAAUAAAGAUAUCUGAACCACCUA